UGCUUAUUAAGAACUAUGGAGAGAAAAAAACUCGGUGAAAUAGUAGCAACCUUUUUGGUUAGGUGCUUAAAAUAAGGGGAAACCAGCAAUGAGAA
rnacentral:ncRNA from 2 species